UUUAGUGCUAUUGGCUCUUGACAAUCAUUAUUUAAUUAGUGCAGACCCUGAAGCCAGGCUGUCUGGAUUCAAACUCUAGCUCCACCACCUUCCUAUACCUUGGAAAUUCUUCCCAUGGUUCACCAUAUUCAAUGGUGUGCUGGAGAUGGCUCGCACUGGUUCACAAGAGCUCAUUGUCAACUUUUCAGGAAUUGGUGAGACCGUUGUUAAACUGUCGAUGGCUGGAAAUUGGCCAUGGGAAUUGGACCACAGAAAUGGACACCAUAGAAAUUGGAAAACACGACAAAAUGAGAGCAUCAGCAUCCCCAGCCUGCUCAACAUUUACCAGCACACCACUGUCGUGAGUCUUCUUCAUUUUCAUUAUCCCAACUGCCAUCAGAGAGAGGCCAACAAAGUCUGAUACAGGAGGAUAAUAUAGCAAUACACAUAUCAUAUGCAAAUAAAGAAUUACAAAUGAGGGUAAGUCUAAAACACAGGUGAACUUGCUCAUAACUUGCAGAAAUGACAUAUGAACACUGAUAAGAAUUGGAAGAGAUAAGAGAAUCUUGUAAAUAAUGAAGAACAGAUUCAACGUAGUUUGAUGCUACUGCUUUUUGGCAAGUUUACUUUUAUUUCCCCAAAUUAAAGAUCCAUGGAUAAGGGAAUAAAAAAAAAUUAGGGGAUAUGGUGGUAGGGAUGGGCCUGGGAUUGGGAUAGGUCCCAGCUAUGGGGCUAGAAGAGGAAUAAAGCAGACAUCAAAGCUGGAAAUGACUUGUGUUUUAAUCCUGGUUCCACCACUUCCUGCUGUGAGAUCUUGGGCAAAUCACUUAGUCUCUUGGACUCUCAGUCCCUCAUCUGUGAAA